rnacentral:rRNA from 1 species
GGUGAACGCUGGCGGCGUGCAUAACACAUUCAAGUCGAACGGAGUAAGUGAGUUUAAUCCUUCGGGAAGCGACGAGCUUACUUAGUGGCGGACGGGUGAGUAACGCGUGAGCAACCUGCCUCUGUAUGGGGGAUAACGUUUGGAAACGGACGCUAAUACCUCAUGACACAACGGAAUCGCAUGUUUCUGUUGUCAAAGAUUUAUUGUACAGAGAUGGGCUCGCGUCUGAUUAGGUAGUUGGUGAGGUAACGGCUCACCAAGCCGACGAUCAGUAGCCGGACUGAGAGGUUGAACGGCCACAUUGGAACUGAGAUACGGUCCAG